rnacentral:rRNA from 1 species
UACGGGGGGAGCAAGCGUUGUUCGGAUUUACUGGGCGUAAAGGGCGCGUAGGCGGCCACCGCAAGUCAGUUGUGAAAGCUCUGGGCUUAACCCAGAAAGGUCAACUGAUACUGCGGGGCUAGAGUGCAGAAGGGGCGACUGGAAUUCUCGGUGUAGCGGUGAAAUGCGUAGAUAUCGAGAGGAACACCUGCGGCGAAGGCGGGUUGCUGGGCUGACACUGACGCUGAAGUGCGAAAGCGUGGGGAGCGAACAGG